rnacentral:lncRNA from 1 species
CUCAAAUUCAACAAUUUGCACUGGGUUCCCCCCGCCAUGAAUAUAAUGUAUUUCCAUAAUUCAAGUCAUACUCAGCUCUAUUCUGUGGUUUCAAGGAGCUCAUACAUUGCAGAUUUAUUUCCCAGGUUGUGAAGCGGUCCCCUAUGGCAAGUGCGAAAUGCCUUUGAUGUGGUGGGUGCAGCAUCCCGGCCGACAGACACACUUAAUCCACCAGGUCUUUGAUUUCAUAGUUUGGUUGAGAGAAGGAAAAGCUACUGCACCUAGAGGGAAAUGACUUCCAUACCAACCGCCUUCAGCCAUAAUCAUUUGGACUGGGAAAGCUGGAUCCGGUCCAUAUUUA